CCGCGGCCGUGGCAGGUCCCCGAAGACCUGGGUGUCCUCGGCCUCCCGCAACACCAGUGCGCGCAUACUCGCCGCGAUGCGGUCCAAGUCCGGAGAGGAGGGCUGCGGGGACGGCAACAGGGCGAGGAUGAGACCCAGAGACCCAGAUCAGGAACUGGACCUGACCAGGGGGAGGCCAGAGCAUCCAAUGAGCUGUGUUGCUGUGCGUCCCAAGCACAGACAGCAGCAGCAGGCAGACCCUGUCUGCACCGGGCCUGGUUCCUGCUCUUCAGCGCCCACUGCCUCGUGGAGGAAGGAGGUAGGGAGGACGUGACCACUGUGACUGCUGGUUUACACAUGAGGACACUGAGGUCUGAGAGCAUGGACUGUGGGGACCCAGGCCACCUCCCUCAAAGCCCACAGCUCCUUCCUGAAAGGCAGCUGGAUUCCAGUCCCAGCUCUGCCCCUCAGGGAAGUCACAUGUCCUCUUACUGCCUCAGUGAGGGGUGAGGAGGACCCACCCAGGCUAGCCCAGCCCAGGAGCUUCAAACAGGGAUGAACGAGACCGGGGGGUGGGACAAAUUCUGCAAAGAGCCGGGAAUGUGCAGGGUGGGGAUGGGAGGUGAUCUGAACUCUCCAAGCUUCAGUUUCCCCAUCUAGAGGGAAUGCCUGUGCCUUGCCCAGAGCAAGUGUUCUACAAAUGAAGACGCUCCUGGAAAGGAGAGGGCUUCUCUGUAAGGCACUAGGACACACGGUAAGGCCGCAGUUGUUAAAACUGCAAGGCUUGGGCCCAAGAACUUGCUUCUUGAGUUUGAGGGGAGGAUUCAGUCAGCUUAUGGGUGGAAAGUAGCAUCCAUGCCAGAGGGCUUCCUGGAGGAAGUGGCUCAGAGCCCUUCCAGCUGCCCUCCCUACCUCCCCCCAUUUGCCCCUUACCGGCCCAUUCUCCUCAUCCGAUGACCGUGCCUCUGUCCUCUUCUCCUUGAAGGCCCAGACGGGCACAGACACAGGCAGGGACUUGGCAUACUGCUGUGUGGGCAGGGCUGAGGCUGGGGGGACUGAGCAGGUCGGGGGCCCAGUGGGGGUCUCCUCACUCAGGCUGCCAUCUGAAAGCGAGGGUAAAUUUCAGCGUCUGUGUCUUUGUGCCAGCCACCCACCUCCAGGUAGGGAGGGGACCACCCAGGACACUCACCAUCUGUGCUCUCGGGGUCCGACUCACAGAAAGGGGGAAGGUCCUGGAGGGUGGCAUCCUCAUCCAUCACGAAGAGCCCUGUGGAUGGUGUGAGUGAGAGGCCCGGGCCAGUGGGCGCCUGGCCAUGCUCCGUGUGCCCUCCUCCCCAGCCACGGCCCCGACCAUGGUCCCCGCCUCCCUGCUGAGACCCACUUCCUUCACCUCGAAAACCCUUCCCCUAGCCACCUGCCUGGUCAUCGGCAGAAACACACCCUCUAUGCAUCUGUCACCUUCUCGGCUACACACGACGUAGCUAACAGGAAACCGCUACGAUCUGUUCGGGACGAUGGGACUGAAAAUACAGCCUGAGAGAAAUACGGGAUGACCGUGACCUCUGUUGACAAAGGAGACCUGGAGGCCCAGAGGGGUUAAGUCACUUGUCGGAGGUCCCAUGGCUACUAAGGGACACCACCAGGAUUUGAACUCAGGAUGCCUGCCCUCCCCCAUGUGGAUUUUCUCCCACAACAGUCAUCGUGGAAAUGACUCUGGUUCUACUUAUGCCCUGCUCCAGAACCCCCCGACCCUCAUCAGGACUCCAAUUCCUUGGCUAGACUGGAAGCCCCUUGAAAAGGGCCAAAGUCUGCUCUGUGUCCCUGUGGCUACCACUUCUAGCACAGAGCUGGCUCCAGGACCAGUAAGGCUCAGAGCGGGGAAGGGAUUGGCUUCAGAUCACACAGCAAGUCCCAGGCAAGCCUGUCUGGCUGUGGGGUCCUGAGACCGCAUCUCGAUGGAAGUACUCAGGACUAAGCAGGUCCCACCACCCCAGACCCCAGGAAAGCCUCCAGCGGGUACCUUGUCAAGCGCUGGGCUGCCCCUGCCCCUGUGCACGCCCUCUCACCUCCGU